rnacentral:rRNA from 1 species
AGUGAACGCUGGCGGUAGGCCUAACACAUGCAAGUCGAACGGCAGCACAGUAAGAGCUUGCUCUUACGGGUGGCGAGUGGCGGACGGGUGAGGAAUGCAUCGGAAUCUACUUUUUCGUGGGGGAUAACGUAGGGAAACUUACGCUAAUACCGCAUACGACCUACGGGUGAAAGCAGGGGAUCUUCGGACCUUGCGCGAUUGAAUGAGCCGAUGUCGGAUUAGCUAGUUGGCGGGGUAAAGGCCCACCAAGGCGACGAUCCGUAGCUGGUCUGAGAGGAUGAUCAGCCACACUGGAAAUGAGACACGGUCCAGCCCCCUACGGGAGGCAGAAGGGGGGAAUAUGGGAAAAUGGGCGCAAGCCUGAUCCAGCCAUACCGCGUGGGUGAAGAAGGCCUUCGGGUUGUAAAGCCCUUUUGUUGGGAAAAAAAAGCAGCAGGUUAAUACCCCGCUGUUCUGACGGUACCCAAAGAAUAAGCACCGGCUAACUUCGU